rnacentral:misc_RNA from 1 species
GUUUAAUCCAGCUGCCCUUGAUCUGAAAAUUCAGAAAAUGAACCACAUGUAAAAAAUUCUCAACAUCAAAGCCAACAAAAUAAACGUAUAAGGAGCUGUAAACUAGCAGAAAUUAUGUUGUACAAUGUUCUCGUGUAACAGAUAUCAAUCCAUUAUCUGGAACAAACAAUGGCAAUCGGUUACAACUUAUGUGCAAAAGAAUGCAUACAAGAAGGAAACUUUUAACCCAUAAUGACAGUAAAGGCCUGUUUGACAUUAUUGUUAAAUCUGCCAUUAAAAAAAUCACUUUUCUAAAGUAAUAAAAAAUAAUUUAAAAUUAAAUA